UACGUAGGGGGCAAGCGUUGUCCGGAUUUAUUGGGCGUAAAGAGCGUGUAGGCGGCCAGACAGGUCCGUUGUGAAAACUCGAGGCUCAACCUCGAGACGCCGAUGGAAACCGUCUGGCUAGAGUCCGGGAGAGGAGAGUGGAAUUCCUGGUGUAGCGGUGAAAUGCGCAGAUAUCAGGAAGAACACCCGUGGCGAAGGCGGUUCUCUGGGACGGUACUGACGCUGAGACGCGAAAGCGUGGGGAGCGAACAGG
rnacentral:rRNA from 1 species